rnacentral:snRNA from 1 species
GUGCUUGCUUUGGCAGCACAUUUACUAAAAUUGGAAUUGUACAGAGAAGAUUAGCAUGGCCCCUGCACAAGGAUGACAUGCAAAUUUGUGAAGUGUUCCAUAUUUUU